AUUUUUCCGUGAUAUUAUAUUUUCUUCAAUGCCAUACCUAACAAAUAUCUCUGUCUCUUUAUAACGAUAUCGAUCUCUCUCUCUACUCUCAGUCCAUUUCUUUAUAGGUCUAUGUUUUGGCCACAUUCGGUUAUCAAAAUCGUCGUCGAUUGACGAUUAGUGUAAAAUGUAAAUGAGCCGUUUAAUAAAUUGUCUUCAGCUAAUAGCCAUUGAUUAAAUACAUUUUGUAUUUACCUACACAGCUACCGCCUACUAUAAGUGGCUUUAGCUGGCCUUUAAAGUACAAAAAAAAGUCGUUAAAUUUUCUUUUUACAGUGUAUUUGAGAUACGAAUUAACGCGGGUAACAACUAAAACGCAAUUAUUUUUCGGACAAGUUUUUUGAUUUCUAGAUCCAAAUGCAUCGUCCACGUUUAUGAUGACUUCGUCGGUCGAUCUCUUAUACUAGAAAACAAGAAGCGGCAUUAUAUGAUCAAAAUCACAUUCAAUAUACAUUAUAAUUUGAUUUAACGGACGCGACUGUAAAUUAGUAAUAAUAUUGUGCACGAAAACAAACACAAAAAUCAUCAUGGUGAAUUUGGUCGAACCUCCACUUCUUGCUGUCGGUACUGAGGUCAGUGCCUAGUAUAAAGGAGCAUUUUGUGAUGCAAAGAUCAGGAAAAUCUCAAAAUCAGUAAAAUGCAAGAUUGGUGCAAAUGUAAUGAAAAGAAAGAGUUAUAAGAAGGAACAAUUCAAAAAAUACAGGACUAUUGUCAAAACACUGUUGGGAAAGUGGAGAGGAAGACAUUUUAGAAAUGGAAGAAAAAGACAUUGGUAACAUGGUGUGCAUAGAGUUCAAUAACAAAAAAAAAGUCAGAGACAAUUGGUUUCCCGGGUUAGUGCUAGCGCCUACUGCACAAUUUGCAGUCAAAACAAACGUUUUGGAAGACUACUUGGUUCGUUCUUUUAAAGAUGGAAAAUACUGUACAGUUUUGAAAAAAGAAAUUACAGAAUUUACAAAAGAAAUAGCCCCCAAAGUAGAAAAUCCUACUUUAAAAACGGCUGUUGAAAAAGCGAUUUUAUAUCUGGACAAAGAUGAACUUCGGCCACAUUAGGACCGUGACUUACUGUUUGGACUCGAAAAAAACUGUGUCAUGACAGUGAAGGCGUUAUAAUAUUGAUGUUGUCAUUAACUUGGGCGGUUUUAACAAAGUCAGUAAAUGUUAACAGUGGAUAACUGGCACAAAGGAUUGGCCACAAACCGUGUUUCUUCUGUCAAACAAUAUUACCUACAGUAUCUACAUAGUAUUGAAGAUUUCUACCAAAAACUCGGCUGCUUGAUGAUAAGUCAUCUUAGAGGAGUGAGAUCUGGAAGCAGAUUUAGUCGCAGUAUCAUUCAUGAUGUGGAUAAAGCGUUACCCUCUAGCAGUUUUGAUAAGAACAGGCAAACGACUAUUGCCAUUAAAUUAGAACCUAAGGAAUAAAAAGAAAAAAUAGAAACUUUCAUAAAGGAAGCCGAUAUUGUCAAAGAACCGGUGACACCAAAAAAACCUUCCAAAACUUUAAAAGUCGAAGACAAGGUUGCUUUAACUAUGAAGAGUAGUGAUAAACAUGUUGCUAAGAAAGUAGAUAAGAAAAAAUACAGGCCUGAAACAAUCGGAAAGAAAACGGAACCGUUUGUCUGAAAAAAAGCCUUUGAAAACCGUAAGGGUAGAAGAGAAGGUGGCAGCAACAUUAAAGAACAACAUUGAAAUUCCACACAAAGUUGACAGAAAAAAAGAAAAGUCUGAAAUCGUUUUGAAAGAAAAGGAAAUGGCUACUGAGUCUGUGACUAAAAAGCCAAGUAAAACGAAAAUAGAAGAAACAAUUACUUGUUCUGGUAAUAGUGCUCGAAACAAAUCUACUGUUAAAAGUGACUCUGUACUGGCUGAAUCAAAAGAUCUUCCUAAGGACAGCAAGGUUAAAAAGGAAUUUAAAGAAGCUACUGUUUAAAAAAAAAGGAAAAUGAUUGAGGAAAAACGCCAUUAUUUAAAAAAUCCAAAGAGAAGCUUCUGCUAACCAAAUUACAGCCAAACCAAAAAUCGAAGAGGAACUACCAAUGUAUUACCAUUCGUUGUCGUCAACGCUGUCGUCCGAAGACGAGCAGAUCCAGCUCAAGAAGAGAAGAAUCGUUGAUGACAAAAAACUGUCGUCGUUGCUGAAGAAACGGGGUGAAGAAUCCAAACGUUGAUUGCGACAUACACAAGCCUAGCACGAGCAAAGGGUUUUUCAACGCCAUGCGCCAUCAACCUUAACAGCAACCCGAUCGCGAACAUCAUUUCUACGAGUCCAAAUCGCCUUCCAAAACUGAGGCGGUAGCGGUUUGUACGAACCAAGUUCGUCUAAGGUUAAUUUGUUUAGAACCCGAAAGCAAACGGUACAAUCAUAGCAAAAUAACAAUUCCUACUAAAGAUGGUAAACCGCUGGUUACGUUCACACCAGAGAUGGAUUCGGCUCAACGUCAAGCAGUGAUUUUUUUGUAUAAAAUCAACAAACUUCAAAAAGAUUACACCACGGACAAAGCACGCAUUGUAGUGCUGGAUCGCAGGAGAAAGAAGAUCAGGAAACGCAAGAGGGAACUAGCAAAGAGAACAGCCGCAGUGAAUCCGAACAAACAGUCGACAGCUGUUGCAACCAAAUAAUUCUCUCACCCAAUAACAAUACGUUUUUGUAUUUAAUGUUUUUAAUAAUAACCCCCUUAGUUGUACAUAAUUGUCAGAGUGGCUUCGUAAUGACAAUGAUUUGUUAUGAAUGUGUAAUGUGUUGAAACUUUCGCGGAUUGAAAUAUCACAUGAAUGAUUUGCGGAUAUAUCCGCGUAAAUAGUUGUUUACCGACGUUUCCGACUCAUUAUGUCACGACUAUUCCGCUGUACAGUCACGGCAGCGAAACAGUUGUGACAUUACCCUGAAGAUGGACUCUGCAAAGAGUCCGAAACUACCAUUGACGCAGAUAUAUCUGAAAAUCAUUCAUGUGAAUCGAUUUGUUGUUAAUACUAAUAUUAUUUAUUCAUAUUAAUUAAUUAAAUUAUUUUUCAUGUUCCCCUGUAGUGUCGGUUCAAGCGUUUUUUUUUUUUUCAUUUAGCGCCUGAUCUUACUAGACACGCUAUUGUUGUAUUAUAUUAAAUAAUAAUAAAAAUUGGGGCGAUCAAAUAUCUUUUAUCAAAUUUUUUAAUUGCACUUUAUAUUUUAUCAAAAUUUACUAGGUAUUAUAUUUAGAAAAUAUUUGUAUAGAAAUUUAAAAAACCGUGUACACCCUAUAUUUUAGAUUAUCAAUAAUAUUAUUUAUGUCAUAAAUUGUAUAUUGUAAUGUUACAUAUUUAUUAAAGUAGCAAAACAUAAUAUUGUUUUCCGACUUAAAUUUUACCAAGAAUUAGAGAUAUGUUGUGUUGUUAUAGUUUGUAAAUAUAGACAUUUUUUUUUUCACUUUUGGAAAGGUUGCCGGCGUCACUAAUUUACAUUAAAUUUGUAUGUACUGUAUCAUGGGAACAUUUAACAUAUUUGAGAUAAUAUUAUGUACUUUAGUAUUUCUGAAAUAAAACUAAAAUUUUCAUGAAUAGUAUCGACUAUUAUAAUUAAACAAAAAUUAAUGUUUUGACUGUCAUUUUACUGUUGUUUUAUAACUAGUAUAUAUUGUUAAUUUAUGGUGGUACAAUGAUAGAACGCUUCCACAUAGUGUACCCCAGGCAACGUCUUUAGACGGCUAAAGUUCUAUCACCCCUCUGGCAGUGCCAUACGAAUAAAUAAAUAAAUUGUUAAUUUAAUCACUGUAAUAGUAAAAAGUAAUUAAUGGUCUGUGUACCGCAGAGAUGAAUGUUAUUAUUAUAAAUAUAUUUUAAUGAAGACAGGUUUAAUACCAUGUAAAUUUGAAAACAAUACAAUCACAAUUAUAAGUGUAAACAAAACGUCAUUAUUAUUAUUAAUUAAAAUAUAAUUGGGCUUAAGUUAA